rnacentral:lncRNA from 1 species
GUGUAAAGGAGGUAGAUCCUCUUCAGAUGACUGAGAUUACAGUGGAAGAGGCGAGGACAUCAGAGCCCCCUGCUCCUCCUCCUGCUACUGCUGCACCUCCUCCUCCUCCUGCUGCUGCUACACCUGCUCCUCCUCCUGCUACAUCUGCUCCUCCUCCUGCUGCUGCUGCUACACCUGCUCCUCCUCCUACUGUAACUGGAGCAGUACCGGUAGCUACCAAGGAGGAU